UGAUCAGACGUCCCUCCUCGUCGUACGAUAUCCUGUCGUACAACAGACACGGUACGCGAGUAUUCGCCGAUAAAAUGGAGAAGCUCGAAUCUGGAAGCGACGUCGAGUUCUUGUGGCUUCGGCCCGGUUCCUGUGCAAGUUGACACGGCCGACCUCAACGAGAACCCAUAAUCAGUCUUUUGGGGGUUUCAAUAUUCUGAAAUUGGGCGGAUAAGUUCAUGAUUUAGAUCACUGAAGAGUUCGAUUCUGCUUUUGCCUUCUGGUUUAUUUCCCAGUGGCUUUGUUAUUGCUUUCUUUUCCAGCUGAAAUAUUUUAGGUCAAUGAGGAAUUCAGCUCGGCCUCUUCAACAAAUCCGAUAUCUUUUCUGUUUUUACCGAACAGACAUUUCAUUAAACAAAGCAGGGAAAAUUGAUCAAGUUUCUAUUUUUGUUAACCCUAUUGCUUGUCAUCCAAAUGGGGCCAUUUAUGGUAGAGAAAUCAAUAAAGACCUGACUUACAGUAUGCUGUUUUCCAGGGCUUUAUGCUCUACCUCAGAAAAGUUCUCUAUCAGAGAUUCUUCUAAUGUUGGAGGAGUUGGUCCUUUGUUGGAGUAUGAAAAGAGAAUUGCCGUGGGAGAGCUUGUUGGUGGAGACAGCUUCCAGAUAGAAUCACUUCGAGCACUACAAAGGCUUUAUGAAGAGCUCGUGGAGCAUGAAGAUGAUUGCCAAUUGGAUAGGUAUCUGUCAUCAAAAAAAUCUGGGAGGAGUAGGUGGUUGUGGUCUCGUCUUAUGCCUCGGUCUAAUUAUUCACCAAUCAAAGGACUGUACCUUUAUGGAGGAGUAGGCACUGGAAAGACAAUGCUUAUGGAUUUGUUCUACAAUCAGCUGCCAUCAUAUUGGAGGAAGAAAAGGAUGCACUUUCAUGAUUUUAUGUUGAAUGUGCAUAGAAGGCUGCAGGUGAAGUUGGGUUGAAAUUUAUCAUUGAUAUAUUUUUAUUAGGUUAAUGAUCAUUCUAAAUUUUUGUUUUCUUGAACUAGUCCCAUGGUAUUGCUGUAUGCUCAUUUUGACUUCAUAUAUGUACAAAUUCUGUCUUAAAAAAUAUAACCGUAGGUGCAUAAAGGUGUAGCAGAUCCACUUGAAAUUGUUGCUGCUGAGAUAUCAGAUGAGUCCAUUCUGUUAUGUCUUGAUGAAUUCAUGGUAACUGAUGUAGCAGAUGCAUUGAUACUAAACCGUCUUUUCCAACAUCUUUUCAGCAAUGGCAUGGUUCUUGUCUCUACUUCAAAUCGUGCUCCUGACCAGCUUUAUGAAGGUGGUUUGCAAAGGGACCUAUUUUUACCUUUUAUUGAUAUCUUGAAGAUGUGUAAUUCAUGAAAUUAGCUCAUCAACCGACUACCGGAAGCUGCGUUCUGCGGAGAAGGGCUACUAUUUCAUUGAGAAGAAACCCACUGGACUUCUUACAGAGAUGUUUAAUCAGUUAAUAGGGCCUGAGAAACCUUGUCCUCAAGUUGUUGAAGUUGUAAUGGGUCGGAAAUUGCAGGUCCCACUUGGAGCUAAUGGAUAUGCGUAUUUCACUUUUGAGGAUCUCUGUGAAAGACCUUUGGGGGCAGCAGAUUACCUUGGAUUGUUUAAGAAAUUUCAUACACUUGCACUUGAAGGAGUUCCCAAGUUUGGGAUCCACAACAGAACUGCUGCAUAUCGGUUCGUCACAUUGGUUGAUGUAAUGUAUGAGAAUAAAGCUGUAUUAUUAUGCACUGCAGAGACAUCACCUGUGGAGUUAUUUGAAAAAAUUGUGACAGUCACUGAUGCCCAGAAAAUUUCUCCUCGAUCUUCUUCACGGUCACAGAGAUAUGAUGAUAUCGAUCUUUGUGUUGAUAAUGAGCUAGGAUUUGCCAAAGAGCGAACCAUUAGCAGAUUGACGGAGAUGAAUAGCAAGGAGUAUUUGGAACAUCAUGAAGUUCAUCGGCUGGCUCGACAUUAGUGCGAUUCUUUUUCCCACCAUCUUUAAAGGUGUGUUUGGCAUAAAAUCUGCCCAAAGGAGUCGAUUCAUGAGUUCAUUCCCUUCUUAUUAUCCCAGGACUCAAAAGUAGGCAUUCCAUCUGGCUUGUUCCAUAAAUUUCCUUGUGUUAUAUGAUUAUAAAAGAAAAACACUAAAUUGAUAUUUUAUUACCAUGAUCUCUUACAAUGUAUGUAUUUAUAUAAAAUAAAUAAAUUACAAGAGUUAAUUUGGCCUAUCA